CUCGGCGUUGAGUAACCAAGCAAAUUACGUCGCAUUUAAGAUUUAAAGGUAAUGUUUUCUUUGGGCAUUGUUCGAAACUACAAAACGAAACACCUGCCAGACAAAAGACAAAGGGAACGCGGUGCGGGCAUGAGCGGGUUGCGCGGGUUUGAGGGGAAGAGCACACAAAAAACACAAAACAGUUGGACCAUGAAAACAGUAACUAAAAGGAACAGCAGACGUCACAGCACUAAGCAAGUUGUCUCCGUCUCGAGUCUCGAGUCUCCCAAUCCCAGUCUCAUUCUCAUUCAUUCGCUGUCGCUAUACCCCCUGUCUUCCAAUGUGUGUGUGUGCGUGUGUGUGUGUCAAGACAAUGGACUGCGACAAGUGCGGAGUCUAUAAAAACUACAUGCAUUGAGCGCGGGGGCGAGCGAACUACUACAAAAACUACAACUUGCAAAUGCGCAGCGCUAACAGUGGGGCUCAGUACCAGACGAGACGGGUCGACGACAACAAUACAAAAGGAAAACUUGUAAAAGGACUGCAUUAAAAACUGAUGGAACAGUAUAUGCCCCAUUUCAAGUAUAAUUCCCUAGACAUUCUAAAAAGACUUCUUCAAAGUUUUAAAUAUAUUUUAUUUUAAGCAUGUU